CCCAAAAAUGGCAUAAAAUGGCAAAAUUUUAGGGCGUCAAUUUUUGACAAAAAACGUAAAGGGUUAGUAUGUCGUUUUUUUUCAUUUUUUUCAACUUGCUUCUAAUGAACUUUUCUGGUCAAAAAGACAGGGGGAACCUCACACAUACUGAACAGGGGCCCCAGAAGCACCCAAAAACGGCAUAAAAUGCCAAUGUUCGAGGGCGGUGAUUUUUGACAAAAAACGUAAGAGGUUAGUAUGUCGUUUUUUUGUAUUUUUCAACUUGCUUCUAAUGCACUUUUCUGGUUGAAAAAACAAGGGAAACCUCACACAUACUCAACAGGGGGCCCAGAAGCACCCAAAAACGGCAUAAAAUGCCAAAAUUUUCGGGCGUCAAUUUUUGACAAAAAACGUAAGGGGUUAGUAUGUCGUUUUUUUCAGUUUUUUCAACGUGCUUCUAAUGAACUUUUCUGGUCAAAAAGACAGGGGGAACCUCACACACACUCAACAGGGGCCCCAGAAGCACCCAAAAAUGGCAUAAAAUGGCAAAAUUUUCGGGCAUCGAUUUUUGACAAAAAACGUAAGGGGUUAGGAUGUCGUUUUUUUCAGUUUUUUCAACUUGCUUCUAAUGAACUUUUCUGGUCCACAAAAACAGGGAACACCUCACACACGCUCAACAGAGGCCCCAGAAGCACCCAAAAACGGCAGAAAAUGCCAAUGUUCGAGGACGGUGAUUUUUGACAAAAAAUGUAAGAGGGAACACCUCACACACGCUCAACAGAGGCCCCAGAAGCACCCAAAAACGGCAGAAAAUGCCCAAAUUUUCGGGCGUCGAUUUUUGACAAAAAACGUAAGGGGUUAGUAUGUCGUUUUUUUCAGUUUUUUCAACUUGCUUCUAAUGAACUUUUCUGGUCCACAAAAACAGGGGACACCUCACACACGCUCAACAGAGGCCCCAGAAGCACCCAAAAACGGCAGAAAAUGCCAAUGUUCGAGGGCGGUGAUUUUUGACAAAAAACGUAAGAGGGAACACCUCACACACGCUCAACAGAGGCCCCAGAAGCACCCAAAAACGGCAGAAAAUGCCAAUGUUCGAGGGCGGUGAUUUUUGACAAAAAACGUAAGAGGUGCUUCAUUGGGUCUGGAGGAGACGCCAUCACCUUGAUCAUCUCGGAGGUGCGUUUGGGCUCGGCAUCAUGUUGGAAAGACCAAUCUCUGCUUCGGAAUGUCACAGAACAUUUUGGACUUCAUAGAUGAACCACAGCUCCUUGGUGACGGCAGCACUCACGCUGCCUCAGACCACAAUGCUUAGAGUAGUUACUGAGCAACUGACGUAAAACUAAUGAGUACAUACCAAGGAACUAACGCACAUACAUGUAGAGUAGUUACUGAGGAACUAAUAACUAACACAUACAUUUAGAGUAGUUACUGAGGAACUAAUAACACAUACAUUUAGAGUAGUUACUGAGGAACUAAUAACUAACACAUACAUUUAGAGUAGUUACUGAGGAACUAAUAACACAUACAUUUAGAGUAGUUACUGAGGAACUAAUAACUAACACAUACAUUUAGAGUAGUUACUGAGGAACUAAUAACAUACAUUUAGAGUAGUUGCUGAGGAACUAAUAACUAACACAUACAUUUAGAGUAGUUACUGAGCAACAGAUGUAAUACUCGUGAGUACUUACAAGGAACUAUGGCCCAUACAUUUGGAGUAGUUACCAAGGAACUAAUGAAGAACUGAUGACUAAGGCACAUACAUUUAGAGUAGUUACUGAGGAACUAAUAACUAACACAUACAUUUAGAGGAGUUACUGAGCAACUGAUGUAGAACUUGAGUAUUUACCAAGGAGCUAAGGCACAUACAUUUAGAGUAGUUACCAAGGAACUAAUGAAGAACUGAUGACUAAAGCAUAAACAUUUAGACUAGUUGCUGAGGAACGAAAAUAAUACAUUUUGAGUAGUUACUGAGGAACUAAUGAAGACCAUUUGUGCAUGUGUUGCCAUGGAGAGAUGACGGACAGGAAGUGACGGAGGAAACCGCAUGUCGAGUUGUAGCCCUUGUCGGAAUUGUUGCUUCUUGGACCUUCAUAAAAAAAAAAAACACAGUGUUACAAUAUUUGAGUCACUUUGACUGUACAGUACUCUACAAAAAUAUAACUUUAUUUGAAUGAGCGAACUGGAACAAAGAUACGUUAUGUUAUAUGACAACAGAAUGCUGGUUUAAGUCACGCUUUGGCGUCUUCAAGGUCAUAUAUAAAGUCUUCUGGGAGCUUCUCAUCAGGGAUUCGGCUCAGUUGUUCAUCGUGGGAACGCAGAGUCCACAGUUUCUCCAGUUCGUACACUUCCCUGGUCUCCGGAAGCAUGAAGUGGACCACCAUAUUCCCUGCAGGAUAGACAGACACAGCUCAUGUCUAAGCAUGACACCCGAUGCUUGUUUUACAUACCAAAGUCAAUACAAAGCCAGUCUUCUGCAGUCUUUCCUUCAAUCUUCACAUGAGGAUUGUGAUCCCGUCUCACAAAUUUGUACUAAACGGAGGAAAGAAGCGAUGGUUGAAGAUAAAGAGAACAGGUUUUAUGUGUCAGAGGAGGGAGAAAUUGCAGGUCAUUUACCACUUUGAUGGCGUAAAGGGCCAUCGCACGGAGGUGUCUGGGUGACACGCCGCUGACCACGAUGAUGUACUGGGUGUAUUUGAUGUGCUCCGGUAAUUUAAUCACACAGAUGUCGUCUGCGUUCUCCUGUCGCAGCAAAGACACCAAAACAUCCAGGUUGAACGUCUCGGUCGACCCUGGAAAUGAAUUAAAAGAUGUAUCAACUAAAUUAUGUAUAGUAUUUAUUUCAUAAUACAGUACAGUUGACAUUGAACUUUUCUGGUGAAAAACACAGGGGAAACCUCACACACACUCAACAGGGGCCCCAGAAGCACCCAAAAAUGGCAGAAAAUGCCAAUGUUCGAGGGCGGUGAUUUUUGACAAAAAACUUAAGAGGUUAGUAUGUCGUUUUUUUCAGUUUUUUCAACGUGCUUCUAAUGAACCUUUCUGGUAAAAAAACAAGGGAAACCUCACACACACUCAACAGGGGCCCCAGAAGCACCCAAAAACGGCAUAAAAUGCCAAAUUUUUCGGGCGUCAAUUUUUGAAAAAAAACGUAAGGGGUUAGUAUGUCAUUUUUUGGUUUUUUUCAACGUGCUUCUAAUGAACUUUUCUGGUAAAAAAAAAAACGGGAAACCUCACACACACUCAACAGGGGCCCCAGGGGCACCCAAAAAUGGCAUAAAAUGCCAAAAUUUUAGGGCGUCAAUUUUUGACAAAAAACGUAAGGGGUUAGUAUGUCAUUUUUUUCCGUUUUUUCAACGUGCUUCUAAUGAACUUUUCUGGUUGAAAAAACACAGGAAACCUCACACACACUCAACUGGGGGCCCCAGAAGCACCCAGAAAUGGCAUAAAAUCCCAAAAUUUUAGGGCGUCAAUUUUUGACAAAAAACCUAAGAGGUUAGUAUGUCGUUUUUUCCAGUUUUUUUCCAACUUGCUUCUAAUGAACUUUUCUGGUCAAAAACACAGGGGAAACCUCACACACACUCAACAGGGGCCCCAG